UUGUUUCUCUGUCAUCUAUUGCCUGCUUCCUCUUCUUCUUUGUACUGACCAAUUGUUGCAGUUAAUACUUGUCAUGAUUUGGCAUUUGCCAAAAAAUAGUCUUUCUUUGUAUUCUUCCAUACCUCUGCUAUUCUUAAUGCAUAUUAGAGAAGAAUUAUUUUUCCUUUAAUAGUAUUAUUAGAGAAGUAUUCUUUCAACAAUCUUUGUAUCCCACAUUGCCUUUAUAUGUAUGGGGUGCAUUGGGGAUUGGCGAAUAGUCCAAUCAGAUCUGACUAGGAAAAAAUGUUCAGAGGAGAUUGUGAAGGCAGAGAAUAUUGGCCAAGAAAUGUUCUUUCAAUGGUUGAAUGCAUACCUUCACAUUUUUCUGUUAUUCAUUGUGCAAUAAUAGUCCUAGCAGUUUAGGAAUCCUAGUGCCACUCUCCCGUUUCCAGAAUUUCACUCUCAUGUUUUACGACCAUGCAAAUCAACUGCUGACUUAAAAUUGGCAUGAAAUAACUUUGGCUAGAAUGUCGAUGCAGGAGGGUCAUGUUACCCUUUUCAUGUGUGUGUAGUGAAAAGUGAAUAAGCUGUGGCCCUGUCAGAAUGGUUUAACAGCUUUGUUACAAAGUGGUAGUCACCCUUUAUGUAGGAAAUGGUCUCUCAGCAACAGUAUGGCGCCAUUUUCUGUUUAGAGCCUUCAUCCUAGAGCUGUCGUCCUGUAAGCAGGAAUCUGAAAGCUGAGGUAACAUACUUUCAGCUAAAACUUGAAUCACCCAAAACUUUGCGAACUUUGAGUUUCGGAUCCAAUGGCUAGGAAAUUUGAGAAUUAGAGUCCCAAAUUUAUCAACUUCAAUGAAGUGGGUUGAGAACCAUGAAGUCUCAAGUUCAAAUCCCAGUGGAGGCAAAAACACUAGGUGAUUUCUUUCCAUCUGUCCUAGCCUCGGUGGAUAGAGUUACCUGGUACCUGUUGCUGGUGGGAGGUCCCGUGGAAUUAAUCGAGGUCCGCGCAAGCUGGCGUGGACACCACGGUUAUAAAAUAAAAGACCAUGUGGGAGGGACUCACUUAGAGAAGCACAUUAUAUA